AGUAGAAUAGCUAGGUCAAAUGGUGGUUCCAUUUCAAAUUUUCUGAGAAAUUUUUAUACUGCUUUCCAUGAAAUUUGCACUAAUUUGCAAUCCCACCAGCAAU
rnacentral:pre_miRNA from 1 species